rnacentral:rRNA from 1 species
GAUGAACGCUAGCGGGAGGCCUAAUACAUGCAAGUCGAACGGUAACAGGUAGCAAUACGCUGACGAGUGGCGCACGGGUGCGUAACGCGUACACAAUCUGCCUUAUACUGGGGCAUAGCCUUUGGAAACGAAGAAUAAUUCCCCAUAACAUAUAGAAGAGGCAUCUCUUUUAUUAUUAAAGCUCAGGCGGUAUAAGAUGAGUGUGCGUCCGAUUAGGUAGUUGGUGAGGUAACGGCUCACCAAGCCAACGAUCGGUAGCUGGUCUGAGAGGAUGAUCAGCCACACGGGCACUGAGACACGGGCCCGACUCCUACGGGAGGCAGCAGUAGGGAAUAUUGGACAAUGGGCGCAAGCCUGAUCCAGCCAUCCCGCGUGAAGGAUGAAGGUCCUCUGGAUUGUAAACUUACUUUUCUUCGGGAAUAAAAACUAGGGGUUCUCCUCAGCUUGAAGGUACCGAAGGAAUAAGCACCGGCUAACUCCGUGCCAGCAGCCGCGGUAA